rnacentral:misc_RNA from 1 species
GCUAGCUAAUUUUCUUAAGCAGGUGAUUUAAUACUUAGUAGGAGCUGCGGGGGCAUGUCUUAUGCCUAAUUCUGGAUUCUUAUAACCAAAUUGUUUUUACGUUUAUUAAUUCAGGUGCUUGACUUCUCUCAGUUUGUCAACCUGGUUAUGCAUAUUCAUAUUUUUCUUCUAGUUGUUUUAGCUUCAAAUUAUGCAUUUUCCCCUGAAUUCCUUUAAUUUGUUACAAAAUUCAUUUCUAUAUUUGAAAGUAAGAACCUCUGCUGCUUGCUCAUUUCCACAUAUACUGACAUAAGCCCACCCUUUCCAUUGAGAAUUCAGGAAGGGUGGGGAGAGAAAAAU